CAGUCGCCGCGGUAAUGCGUAGGUGGCAAGCGUUGUCCGGAAUUAUUGGGCGUAAAGGGCUCGCAGGCGGUUUCUUAAGUCCGAUGUGAAAGCCCCCGGCUCAACCGGGGAGGGUCAUUGGAAACUGGGAAACUUGAGUGCAGAAGAGGAGAGUGGAAUUCCACGUGUAGCGGUGAAAUGCGUAGAGAUGUGGAGGAACACCAGUGGCGAAGGCGACUCUCUGGUCUGUAACUGACGCUGAGGAGCGAAAGCGUGGGGAGCGAACAGGAUUAGAUACCCCCGUAGUCCCUGUCUCUUAUAC
rnacentral:rRNA from 1 species